UGCAGUCGAGCGGUAAGGCCUUUCGGGGUACACGAGCGGCGAACGGGUGAGUAACACGUGGGUGAUCUGCCCUGCACUUCGGGAUAAGCCUGGGAAACUGGGUCUAAUACCGGAUAUGACCUCAGGUUGCAUGACUUGGGGUGGAAAGAUUUAUCGGUGCAGGAUGGGCCCGCGGCCUAUCAGCUUGUUGGUGGGGUAAUGGCCUACCAAGGCGACGACGGGUAGCCGACCUGAGAGGGUGACCGGCCACACUGGGACUGAGACACGGCCCAGACUCCUACGGGAGGCAGCAGUGGGGAAUAUUGCACAAUGGGCGAAAGCCUGAUGCAGCGACGCCGCGUGAGGGAUGACGGCCUUCGGGUUGUAAACCUCUUUCAGCAGGGACGAAGCGCAAGUGACGGUACCUGCAGAAGAAGCACCGGCUAACUACGUGCCAGCAGCCGCGGUAAUACGUAGGGUGCAAGCGUUGUCCGGAAUUACUGGGCGUAAAGAGUUCGUAGGCGGUUUGUCGCGUCGUUUGUGAAAACCAGCAGCUCAACUGCUGGCUUGCAGGCGAUACGGGCAGACUUGAGUACUGCAGGGGAGACUGGAAUUCCUGGUGUAGCGGUGAAAUGCGCAGAUAUCAGGAGGAACACCGGUGGCGAAGGCGGGUCUCUGGGCAGUAACUGACGCUGAGGAACGAAAGCGUGGGUAGCGAACAGGAUUAGAUACCCUGGUAGUCCACGCCGUAAACGGUGGGCGCUAGGUGUGGGUUCCUUCCACGGAAUCCGUGCCGUAGCUAACGCAUUAAGCGCCCCGCCUGGGGGAGUACGGCCGCAAGGCUAAAACUCAAAAGGAAUUGACGGGGGGCCCGCACAAGCGG
rnacentral:rRNA from 1 species